rnacentral:rRNA from 1 species
GCGAACGCUGGCGGCAUGCUUAACACAUGCCAGUCGCACGGGCAGCAAUGUCAGUGGCGGCCGGGUGAGUAACGCGUAGGAACGUGUCCUGAGGUGGGGGACAACCCCGGGAAACUGGGGCUAAUACCGCAUAUGGGCUGAGGCCCAAAGCCGAGAGGCGCCUUUGGAGCGGCCUGCGUCCGAUUAGGUAGUUGGUGGGGUAAAGGCCUACCAAGCCUGCGAUCGGUAGCUGGUCUGAGAGGACGACCAGCCACACUGGGACUGAGACACGGCCCAGACUCCUACGGGAGGCAGCAGUGGGGAAUAUUGGACAAUGGGCGAAAGCCUGAUCCAGCAAUGCCGCGUGGGUGAAGAAGGUCUUCGGAUCGUAAAGCCCUUUCGACGGGGACGAUGAUGACGGUACCCGUAGAAGAAGCCCCGGCUAACUUCGUG